GUCUUUUUCGUCUAGUGGUUAGGACAUGAUCUUUUCAAGGUCAGUAGGCAAGUUCAAAUCUUGCAAGAGAUA
rnacentral:tRNA from 1 species